AGAGAUUUAUCUACCGGUUUUCCGGAUAGAUACAGAAAGACGACGAACAACAAACUGGCUUAAGACAAAUUUUCUUUUUCGCUUAGCUGUCAUUUUUUAACAUAUAUACUGUAUGAGAAAUCCAACAAGCAGAGUCUCGUAGCUCAGCUGGUUAGAGCGCUACACUGAUAAUGUAGAGGUCGGCAAUUCGAAUCUGCCCGAGACUACUAGAAACGAUUACAAAUCUUGCUUUUGGAACUUAUUACAGUAAAUUAGAGAAUCUAGGGUUAGCAAUGCCCCUGAAAGAGGGAAAUUGUCUCCCGAUUUUCAGGUUAUGGGGGAUUAGCUCAGCUGGCUAGAGCGCUUGAUUUGCAUUCAAGAGGUCAUCGGUUCGACUCCGAUAUUCUCCACAAUAACGUUCAUUGACAUAUUGAAAAUACAAGAGUUAACUAUUAUAGAAAUAUAAUAGAGUAACGAGCAAAUAAUAGAGAAUUUUUUUUAGAAGCAAUUUUAAAGAAAGAGUAAUAAAGUUAC
rnacentral:tRNA from 1 species